rnacentral:rRNA from 1 species
CCUACGGGAGGCAGCAGUAAGGAAUAUUGGUCAAUGGACGCAAGUCUGAACCAGCCAUGCCGCGUGAAGGAUUAAGGCCCUCUGGGUUGUAAACUUCUUUUAUAGGGGACGAAAAAAGGGCAUUCUUGCUCACUUGACGGUACCCUAGGAAUAAGCACCGGCUAACUCCGUGCCAGCAGCCGCGGUAAUACGGAGGGUGCAAGCGUUAUCCGGAUUUACUGGGUUUAAAGGGUGCGUAGGUGGGUUGGUAAGUCAGUGGUGAAAUCUUCGAGCUUAACUCGGAAACUGCCAUUGAUACUAUCAAUCUUGAAUCAUCUAGAGGUAAGCGGAAUAUGUCAUGUAGCGGUGAAAUGCUUAGAUAUGACAUAGAACACCAAUUGCGAAGGCAGCUUACUAUGGAUGCAUUGACACUGAGGCACGAAAGCGUGGGGAUCAAACAGGAUUAGAUACCCUGGUAGUCCACGCCCUAAACGAUGGAUACUCGACAUUUGUGAUAUACAAUAAGUGUUNUGAGAGAAGACAUUAAGUAUACCACCUACGGAGGUACGACCGACGAGGUAGUAAACGUUAAAGUAAAGUUAGUACGGACGUAGAGACGUAGACCGAACGGACGACGACGAGGGAGGAGGGAG